UUAUGUGACAGAUAAAGUGGACA
rnacentral:miRNA from 1 species